rnacentral:tRNA from 1 species
UCCCCGGUAGUAUAUCGGUUCAGUACACGCGCCGGUCACGCGCGAGAGCGAGGUUCGACUCCUUGCUGGGGAG